rnacentral:rRNA from 1 species
UACGGAGGGUGCGAGCGUUGUCCGGAAUCACUGGGCGUAAAGGGCGCGUAGGCGGCCUGGUAAGUCGGGGGUGAAAUCCUGCGGCUUAACCGCAGGGCUGCCUUCUAAACUGUCAGGCUCGAGCACGGUAGAGGCAGAUGGAAUUCCCGGUGUAGCGGUGGAAUGCGUAGAGAUCGGGAAGAACAUCAGUGGCGAAGGCGGUCUGCUGGGCCGUUGCUGACGCUGAGGCGCGACAGCGUGGGGAGCAAACAGG